rnacentral:rRNA from 1 species
CCUACGGGUGGCAGCAGUGGGGAAUAUUGCACAAUGGGGGAAACCCUGAUGCAGCGACGCCGCGUGAGUGAAGAAGUAAUUCGUUACGUAAAGCUCUAUCAGCAGGGGAGAAAAUGACGGUACCUGUGUAAGAAGCCCCGGCUAACUACGUGCCAGCAGCCGCGGUAAGACGUCGGGGGCAAGCGUUAUCCGGAUUUACUGGGUGUAAAGGGAGCGUAGACGGUGCGCCAAGUCUGGAGUGAAAUGCCGCAGCUUAACUGCGGAACUGCUUUGGAAACUGGCGAACUAGAGUGCGGGAGGGGUAAGCGGAAUGCGUGGUGUAGCGGUGAAAUGCGUAGAUAUUAGGAGGAACACCGGUGGCGAAGGCGGCUUACUGGACCGUAACUGACGUUGAGGCUCGAAAGUGUGGGGAGCGAACAGGAUUAGAUACCCCGGUAGUC